GUGAUCCAGAUUAAUUGAUUGUCUCCUUAAAGUAAAAUUAUUAUUAUUAUUAUUAUUUGAGUUCUCAAUUUCUUUUGACUGAUUGCUGGUUCUCGAAGUUGAGGUUAUUUCCCCCUUUCCGAAUCUGAAUGAUUGUUUAAAUUUGAAUGGUGUAAAGAUUCAAUUUUUAUCUAAGUUUGUUGGCAAAUGGUGGGAGAUGUAGUUUGGACUUCUGUAACAACCCUUGGCCAGAAAUGAUCAGUAACAGGAAGAAUAUGCUGUGAAAAGGAAGAACUCAGAUUUCAGAGGGAAGAAGAGAAAAAACUGAGGGAGAAAGAGUAGUAGUUUUAUUCAAGAAAUCUGUUCUGGAUACUUUUGAGAGAGGGGAACUGACAUUUUAGACAAAUUUUAAUUGCUAAUUUGGCAGCUAAUCCAAAUCUAAAUCUCCGGGAAGCAGCUUCCACAAUUCUGCAGUUGCAACAACCUUUCUUGACUCUAUCCUCAACAUCUCUUCUGGAAAAUAACAAAUUCAAUGACUAGUAGUUUAAUAACUGAAUCAGUACUGUUCCACUUAAUUUAAGCACAAUGCUGUAAAACCUAGUUUUUUAGACUAGAGCUAAUAUUCCUCUCAUAAAAUAUAAAUGUUCAACAGUGUUGUAAAACUUAGCCUAGGCCCUAGGUGCCCCUAGGCUGAGUCAAUUUUUGAGUUAAUCACCUUUCUAGUCAGCUGACUAGUUGGAUACACGGCCUACUUAGAUGUUUUUUUUUUUUUUUUUUUUUUUUUGUUUUUUUUUUAGGGUUCUUUCGCUCAAAACAAUGUAGUUUUGAGCAAAACAACCUAAAAUGGGAAGAAGUUAAAUUGAAGCCAGACACAAGGGAGUAAAUCAAACAACUCUUCAAACCUCAAUUGCCUUUCAGCCUUUACCAGAUUUGCUGACUGCCACAUAGCUUGCAACAAAGCCAUCCCGAUCAAAACAAAUUGACCUUCACCUUUCACUGCCCAAAUGCCAUCACUGGCCAACCAUCGCAGCCAAUUGACAGAUUGAGACGAGUCACGAGUGAGGAAGCUUUGAGGCCCAUUGCCCACUGCCUAGUCGUCGCUCACCAUUGUUGGAGGAGUAGAGAGAUUUUAUCUUUUCCCACUUUUCCUAUAGACUUUAAAGCUUUAUUGCUGGAUCAUGAUCAAGGCUUUAAUGCUUUAACAGCAUUGCUUAAAUGUUUAAAAAAAAAAUUAAAUGAAAGGCAAAAUAAGAACGUAUUUACUAAGGCACCUACACGGCGCCUACGCCUUUUUAUAACCUUGAUGUUCAAUAGCAAGUAAUACUUCAACCAUAUCACAUACAAUCCAUCAAAGUAGCAUAUACACACACAUAGCACAUAAUAAACCAAGUUCAAAUCUCUAGCAUUGUGCAGCGCUGGGCAUGAGGUUGUGACACUGCUGCGUGGAAGGCUGCUAUGCUGGGCGAAUGCUGGCCUACUGUGAAUGAAGCAGCAAUGGACUGCUGCAAUGCUGCUGUUAAGACUUAAGAUUAGUUUUUUUUUUUUUUUUUUUUUUUUGCACAAAACCAUGUCAUUUUGAGCUAAACAAACGAUUUUUUUUAAGAAGAAGAAAAAAAAAACUGUCUAGAUCGACUUUCCCAUUCUUCCCCUUGGCCUAGGGGCACCUAGCUCCUAGGCUGAUUUUCACAACAUUGUUUAAGCACCCCGUUCCCUACUCAUAAAAGCUUCCUAAGACCACAAUUGCAAUACCCUCCACAGCACAGUUCCUUUGCAGAUUCUUGUUCUCAAUCAGCAUAUAAUGCUGUUACAAGUUCAUACUAUCUGUUCAUUUAA